CCAGAUGGUUGGACGGCCGCGGGCGGCCGCGAGGUCGCUCGAGGAAAGUCCGGGCUCCACGGAAGCAAGAGUGCCGGGUAACGCCCGGCGGGUGCGAACCCAGGGAAAGUGCAACAGAGAGCAGACCGCCGACGUCUCCUUCACGGGGACGGGCAAGGCUGAAAGGGUGCGGUAAGAGCGCACCGCGGCCUCGGUAACGAGGCCGGCUGGCAAACCCCACUCGGAGCAAGACCAAAUAGGGGCGGCACAUGCGUCGCCGGUUCGCCGGAGGUGCAUAGGCUUGUUUCCGAGCCGCCGCCCGGGUCGGUCGCGCGAGGCGUCCGGCAACGGACGUCCCAGAGGAAUGGUCGUCGCCCGUCCGCAAGGGCGGGGCACAGAACCCGGCUUACAGACCAUCUGGCGCA
rnacentral:RNase_P_RNA from 1 species